GGGCGGGUCCUGUGCGACGGUGCUCCGUGAACCAUGUCAGGCGGGGAACCGAGCAGCAUUAAGCGGUUGCCGCCGUGCGCCGCAGUCAACCUGUCCGUU
rnacentral:SRP_RNA from 1 species